rnacentral:rRNA from 1 species
UACGUAGGGGGCAAGCGUUGUCCGGAAUCAUUGGGCGUAAAGAGCGUGUAGGCGGCCGCUUAAGUCCUGCGUGAAAUCUCGGAGCUCAACUCCGAGCGGUCGUGGGAAACUGGGCGGCUAGAGUGCGGGAGAGGAGAGUGGAAUUCCUGGUGUAGCGGUGGAAUGCGCAGAUAUCAGGAAGAACACCCGUGGCGAAGGCGGCUCUCUGGAACGCAACUGACGCUGAGGUGCGAAAGCGUGGGGAGCAAACAGG